rfam:Solibacter usitatus Ellin6076, complete genome.
GGUGACGUGGAAUGAUUUAGGGUUCUUCGAGCCCAGCUAAUUGCAACCACGAAAAAAAGUGCUAAAGGCGAGUCG